GCAAUAUUUGUUAAAGAAAUGUGUGUAAAAACACGACUUUAAAUUAAAUAUUGUGGUGCUGCAUGUCCUGGCCUACAAAUCAUACUCUACAGACUUAAGAAAACAUCUUUGUUUGAUAAAAAUCCCCUCAAAAAUCAUACCAUAAUCAUUUGAUCUAUUUUAUAUUGUUUUU